AAUUGUAGGCGGUUUGUGUGUGGAUCUCGUCAGCAUAUCGUCGCAAACAGGUAAUCCCCAACCAUAGUGGGCUUGGAGCUAUGAGGGAAUUCGGAGUGGCCACCCGUUCUGAAAGUUUGAUUUUCUUCUGGUGAACUGGACAUCCUUUUAUUUACGUUUGAAGUUUUGGGUUUUUAAAUGUAAUAAGCCCGCUUAAUUAUUUUUGAUGGUUUUAAUAUGUAUUACUAAGAUAGGUAUUACUUAUUUUAACUGUUGAAAUUGGAUAGCUUUAGGGCGCGUUUUCAAAAACAACAA